ACCCGUCUUGCCCGCACUCCGCGCCUCGUAUGGGGUGGAAAAGGCGAGGAGAGCGGACUGCUGGGGGGGGAGCUUUGGGGGACGCCGGCUUGCAAAAGCCUCCCUGGCUCGGUCGGAUCGCCGAGCCUAGCCAGCCGGAAUGCGCCACACAUCGGAGACAAAGUUGCAGAAAACGGCUUUCUCCAACUUUUCCAGGCCUUACAGAUAGGCCUUGUGGGGAUCCAGUAGCCUUGCAGCAUGGAGAAGCGUGGAACUCUAAGGAAUGAAGAAUGCACCAAGAAUUGCCAAAAAAAAAAAAAAAAAAAAGACAGAAAAGGGAAACUACUGACUUUCCAAAUCUCAGCUAAACCUGAAUAUAUGACUGGUCACAGUGACUUGUUCCUCUAGCCAUUCAAGAUGCCUCAUCUUUUUUUAAUCGCCAUUGCCUAAAUCUUGCUGUAUUGGGUACUGUUUACGUACAGUGGAGUAAAAUGAAUCUUUUAGCAAUUGUUGACUGCAGUUAUUGACAGGUUGGUAUAUGAUUCUUUUCGAAAAGAAAAAAAAAAACUCCUAAAAGCAAAAUCUUAAUUGGUUGUUGGAAAUAACUAUUUUAUGUGGAUAUAAAGUAGGACUGAAAUUGAAAAGACUUUCUUCUAAGGAAGAUAUUAAGGCUGGAGAUGGAAGCUAAGGAAAUCAUUAUUUUCACUGUCCUAGAUCCAGAAAAGCAAACAAGUGAAAUCUGCUGUAGUAAAUGUUUUUGCCUCUUGUUGUAAAUCCAUUAAUGCUUUCUCUCUGUGUGUAGUUGUAUGAAAUAAACAUUUAUGGCUCAUA